rnacentral:rRNA from 1 species
GGGACUGAGACACUGCUCAGACUCCUACAGGACGCAGCGAUGGGGAAUUUUGGACAAUGGGCGCAAGCCUGAUCCAGCAAUGCCGCGUGAGUGAAGAGGGCUUUCGGGUUGUAAAGCUCUUUUGUCAGGGAAGAAACGGUUCGGGCUAAUAUCCUGGGCUAAUGACGGUACNUGAAGAAUAAGCACCGGCUAACUACGUGCCAGCAGCCGCGGUAAUACGUAGGGUGCGAGCGUUAAUCGGAAUUACUGGGCGUAAAGCGUGCGCAGGCGGUUUUGUAAGUCUGACGUGAAAUCCCCGGGCUUAACCUGGGAAUUGCGUUGGAGACUGCAAGGCUGGAGUCUGGCAGAGGGGGGUAGAAUUCCACGUGUAGCAGUGAAAUGCGUAGAGAUGUGGAGGAACACCGAUGGCGAAGGCAGCCCCCUGGGUCAAGACUGACGCUCAUGCACGAAAGCGUGGGGAGCAAACAGGAUUAGAUACCCUGGUAGUCCACGCCCUAAACGAUGUCUACUAGUUGUCGGGUCUUAAUUGACUUGGUAACGCAGCUAACGCGUGAAGUAGACCGCCUGGGGAGUACGGUCGCAAGAUUAAAACUCAAAGGAAUUGACGGGGACCCGCACAAGCGGUGGAUGAUGUGGAUUAAUUCGAUGCAACGCGAAAAACCUUACCUACCCUUGACAUGUCAGGAACCUCCGAGAGAUUGGAGGGUGCCCGAAAGGGAACCUGAACACAGGUGCUGCAUGGCUGUCGUCAGCUCGUGUCGUGAGAUGUUGGGUUAAGUCCCGCAACGAGCGCAACCCUUGUCAUUAGUUGCUACGAAAGGGCACUCUAAUGAGACUGCCGGUGACAAACCGGGGGAAGGUGGGGAUGACGUCAAGUCCUCAUGGCCCUUAUGGGUAGGGCUUCACACGUCAUACAAUGGUGCAUACAGAGGGCCGCCAACCCGCGAGGGGGAGCUAAUCCCAGAAAGUGCAUCGUAGUCCGGAUCGCAGUCUGCAACUCGACUGCGUGAAGUUGAAUCGCUAGUAAUCGCGGAUCA